UCCGACUUGAUGGGAAGAUAUCUUGUGAGCGGCCUCUGCGUCCAUAAAUCAUUGAAUUUACAAACCGUGAAACGAACUGUCAAGUUAAACGAUAUAACACACUGUUAUAUGUCUAAACGUGCGGAAAUAGAACUUGAAAUCGUGAAAGGACUGAUUUUUAUUUUCCAUGGCUGACAAAUAUGAUGAAAUGGAUUUUAAUUUAUCGUGAAUUUAUUAUUUAUUUUCUGACUAUAAUUUUGAAAGUAUAAAUCAGAUAGAAAAAUUAAAAAUUAAAAAAAAAUAAAGAAAGCCUAUUUUAAAGAAUAUAUUCUCAUUUUUGACAAAAAAUAGAUUUUUAAUAAUUCAAUAUGUGUUUUUAAUUCUUUAUAUAUAUUAUAAUGACUAAAUGUAAAAAAUUGAAACAAAUUUUUAUAAAUUUGUUACAAACAUUUUUCUGUCAUUAUCUAAACAAUUUGUAUAGUUAGUUCUAAUUGACAAGAUUUAAAAAAUUGUCUGUUUCAAAAACAGAUAUAUAUUAUAAAAUAGUGUUUGAUAUUUUUUCAGAUAUUAAGUUUCAUUUUCAGAUAGAUCUAUAAAAGUUAACAAUUGUUUAUUUGAUUUCGUGAAAUAGAUAUUUAAUAUUAUUUAAUAAAAAUUUUAAAUUUAUUAAAUUAGUUUGAUGAAAAUUAAAAUAAUUAUGGAUUGAAAUAUAUUUAGUAGGAAUACUAUUUGAAUAAAUUAAUUUUAUUCAAUGAUUUUAUUCCUAUGAUUUCAUAGGAAUAUAAUAAUAUCUUACAUAACGCAAAUAUACACAUGUUGUAAAAUUACGUCUGUAUUCUAUCUCUUAGUUUAUCUUGACAACAAUCAUUAAUUGGAAAAGUUAUUGACACACUUUAAAUGACCCUCAACACGUCAUUUAUAAUCAAUGAUAUAGUCUAUUCUGAAGCUUUUUAUUCAUCAACGUCAUUAAUGUUUGACAUAUUUGUAAUGCAUGGAUAAUUUAUCAUAAAUAUCUUAGAUAUUGCCUUUUUUUAAUGCUUUUUAAAUGAUAAAAAACUAGAAAUAAAAUAUUUGUACAAUUUCAAAAUAAAAAAAAAUUUGCUUGAA